UUUGUACUCCCUCCGUCCCAAAAUUCUUGUCUUAAAUUUGUCUAAAUACGGAUGUAUCUAGUUACAUUUUAGUGUUAGAUACAUCUGUAUCUAAACAAAUGUAAGA
rnacentral:pre_miRNA from 1 species